AUUGAACGCUGGCGGCAGGCCUAACACAUGCAAGUCGAACGGUAACAGGAAGCAGCUUGCUGCUUCGCUGACGAGUGGCGGACGGGUGAGUAAUGUCUGGGAAGCUGCCUGAUGGAGGGGGAUAACUACUGGAAACGGUAGCGAAUACCGCAUAAUGUCGCAAGACCAAAGAGGGGGACCUUCGGGGCUCUUGCCAUCGGAUGUGCCCAGAUGGGAUUAGCUUGUUGGUGGGGUAACGGCUCACCAAGGCGACGAUCCCUAGCUGGUCUGAGAGGAUGACCAGCCACACUGGAACUGAGACACGGUCCAGACUCCUACGGGAGGCAGCAGUGGGGAAUAUUGGACAAUGGGCGCAAGCCUGAUGCAGCCAUGCCGCGUGUAUGAAGAAGGCCUUCGGGUUGUAAAGUACUUUCAGCGGGGAGGAAGGGAGUAAAGUUAAUACCUUCGCUCAUUGACGUUACCCGCAGAAGAAGCACCGGCUAACUCCGUG
rnacentral:rRNA from 1 species